UACAGCCAAAAGUAUUGCAAGCCUGUGCCCAGUGUUUUGCAAUUGAAAACAACCUUAUCAAGAACUGCAAAACGGAUUGACUGCGUAAAACCAAUAUGUGUGUGUAGAAAAAAAAAUCGUUGCAACUGUCUAAAUGACUUCUUGCGUGCAUAGAGCAAAAUGUUCGCCAAAUAACCCGCUGUGUACGUCUGCGUCUUUGCGCUUGCAGUUUUGGCACGAUUCUCUCACUGAUUUCAGAUUUGCAAGCGCGUGUGGAAGGCGGGACCUCCUUCUUUCAGCCAAUCAGAUGAAGCUCUUGCUGACUCUCGAUUUACUCUUAUCUGAUUGGUUCAAUAAACACUCCAGAUGUGAGAACACAUCUUUAUCUUAAUUUAACUCAGAGUCAUUCUUAUUGUGGGGACUUUCACAAAUCUUACCCUGCGCAUGCAAAUCUUUUUGACGUCAUUUUACCUUCAUACAAUUCCCUUUAAGAGCGAGUUGCGCUCGCGCCAUGGUGGAUUCGCUAUGCACACGGAGGGAUUUGCAGGCGCAAAGACUGAACGCGUCUCCAGAGAGGAAACGGAUCUGCUCGUGCGCCAGCAAAUAGGUAGCCUUAUUCUAAUACACGCAAUGACUAUCCAUAAUGACAGAGACAUUUUUAUAUUUAUGUAGCCUACACAAUAUUCUUUUACAUUGUAGUCCUUUAAUUUGUAAUAUUUGGCAUGUUUGUGUGCUGCUGCGCAUCCCUGUGUGUAAUAAACAGAGUGUGUGCGCGUUGUGAACCCGCCUAUAGGCGCACAUUACUAACGCGCUCUUUAAAUAAAAAAAAAUAUUGUGGCAUUGACUUUAGACCAGGUUUCAGUUGGUCAAUGGCGCAGUCUAUUCCAGCUGCCUCAAAAUAGCAACGCGCCAACAAUUGGCCUGAACGCACCUCCUUUUCAGACCAGAUGGGCGCAAAUGCAUUUGCUAUUUAAACAACGUGGUGCAGGACAUGAAAAUGAUAAUUGCGUCAUGCUGAAACUAGCAAAAAACACUUGUGUCACGCCAUUGCGCCGGUUGUAUGAUUGGACCCAUUGAGUCACUCAUUUGAUUUGUUCAAACGGCUGAUUGAUUCAGUAACGAAACAGUCGUGUUACUCAAAGACGCAAAAUCGUGCUGAAAUUUGGAGAAAAAUGCCACUCUUCGUGUGAUAUUAACUAUAUCACAUAUAAAAGUCAUACAAGGGUAUUUUUGCCCCCUUACCUUGAAUUUAGGGGGAAAUGUAAAUGUAUUUUAAUUGACAUGAACUCUCCCAGCCGGCACAUGACCGACCUUCAACGUUGAAAUAUGGUUGAAAUAAGGUCAGUUCGUAUUUCAACGUUGAAACAACGUUGAAACAAUGUUUAAUGCUUAACAACCAACCGGUACAUGACCAACCUUCAACGUUGAAAUAUGGUUGAAAUAAUGACAGUUGUUGUUUCAGUGUUGAAACUACGUUGAAAUAAUGUUUAAUGCUAAAUGGUUGAAAAAGGGUAAUAAAAACACUUAUAAAUCAACUUUGAUUUUUUUUUUUUACAAGACCUGUAUGUGAAUCACUUAAUGUAUGUACAGAAUAAAUCAUUUCUGCCUUUUAAGUUAUUAUUAAGAUCGUUAUUAUUAUUUUAUUAUCAUUUUACAUUUCAUGAAACCUUCUGGUAUAACUAUUAUCAACAAUAAAACUAAACACAUUGCGCUUCCUUACCACACUGAAACAAUUCCGAUUGGUUAUUUAACUUAUUUGCUUUGAUCAUGAUUGGUUAAUCUGGCUGUCAUUCAUGAAACUGGCCAAUGAAACUGUGCCGCCAUUUUAUGUUUGAAAAUAUGACCGUUAUCCUGACCGUCUUUCUGAGUGAGGUCGCUGUGAGUGAGAGCGCUGCUGCGCAAUAAAACUGCCAGGUCGGUCCCGAAUUAUAAUUAUUGUAUAAAAAACGUUUACCAUUAAAGCUAUUAUAUUAUAGAUACUGGUACUAUUUAUGUAAACGCUGCAUAACUUUCAUGUGUUUGAUGGGCGCGCGCGUUGAACAUUCGAGGCGCUUUUAAACUGGAGUGGAGGGAGUUUCCAUAGAAACGGGGCAGCAACUCAGCUGACAAGUAGCAAAAAAUCUCCGUCUCUCACUGUUGUUUUUACUGCUUUCAGAAAUGGUUCAUUGUCAUCGGAAAAAGUCCGUUAGCACAACCCUGAGCUAACCAGAGGCUAACUAUAAGAGAUUGUUUAUGUUCCUGUAGUCUUCCAUGCUGAUGGCCGUGCAGCAGAGUUGGAGGGGACCUCUUGUCGAAGAACAUCUCCAAGACACUAUGAGCAUCUGACUAGUAAGUAAAACCUCAAACAUUCAAAAGUUUAUCAGAUAUUAAAAAAUAUAUCAAAUAAAUAUAAAAUAUUUUUGGAGUCCUGUAUGUCUUACAAGGCCAUCUCGUUUAACACUGCAUGAGGACACUACAACCAGAGAGGUACAACAUAAUUCAAAAUGAGACACAGAUGAUAAUAAAAAAAAGUGCUUGGAAAUUAAAAUUCAUAAUGGUAAGACAGAACCAAGUACCGUGACUGUGCCUCACUUCAAAGUGAAACAGUCUGUAAUGGUCAUCUGCCAUGCCAGAUCGAUGGUGAAGGUGGGAAUUAUAAGUUUGAUUUUCUAGACUUUAAAUGUACUAACGUGUUUGUUCAAGUAGACUUUGUUGCUUGUGGAAACCUCACACAAGCCUGAAAGGUACUUAACUCUAGAUCCGCCAGAGGUCGCUGUAUACUUAAAGCGCCAGCGGGUAAAUUUUACCCACACACAUGGCAACUGUUUUUAUAUGGCUCAAGAACAUAUUAUUUCACUGUAUUAUGCCACUGUCUUCACAAAGAAGUGUCUAGAGUCAUGAAAUGAUUAUGUCUAGUCGUCAGCUAUGUUUUUACCCUGUUGUUUUAUGUUCAAGACUUUUUAAUGCAGCCAACACUAAUUCAUAAAGGUCAGUAAGCUUAAAAAAAAAAAAAAAAAAAAAGCCUGCACUGACUACGAAAAUUAGAAGGUAGUAAAUAUUUGGGUGGUGUAAUAUUAUAAUACAAUGUCAUUAAUCAAUAUAUUAGGAUAACCCACGUUAUCUAAAUAGCCAAUAGACAAUAAUGAGCAAUAAUAAUUGACCACACUGCAUAGGAAGAUGCUAUGACAAAUUCAAGCGCACAGCUUCACCUAGGCCCAAUUAUUAAUUUGUUUAGUUAUAUCAUUCAUAAUUUUAAUAAUAGAACACCACCAAUAAACUUCGGGUAAUCAAAAACAAUUUUUAUUCAUUACAUCAUAGAUGUAAUAGAUUUUUUUAGA